rnacentral:rRNA from 1 species
GGUUAAGUGACUAAGCGUACAUGGUGGAUGCCUUGGCAGUCAGAGGCGAUGAAGGACGUACUAACCUGCGAUAAGCUGUGAGAAGUCGGUAAGAGACGCUAUUACUCACAGAUUUCCGAAUGGGGAAACCCACCCGAGAUAACUCGGGUAUCUGUUACUGAAUACAUAGGUAACAGAGGCGAACCGGGAGAACUGAAACAUCUAAGUACCCCGAGGAAAAGAAAUCAACCGAGAUUCCCUCAGUAGCGGCGAGCGAACGGGGAUUAGCCCUUAAGCAUCUUGGAAGUUAGUGGAACGGUCCUGGAAAGGGCCGGCGAUACAGGGUGAUAGCCCCGUACACGAAAACAACCUUGAUGUGAAAUCGAGUAGGGCGGGACACGUGACAUCCUGUCUGAAUAUGGGGGGACCAUCCUCCAAGGCUAAAUACUCCUGACUGACCGAUAGUGAACCAGUACCGUGAGGGAAAGGCGAAAAGAACCCCUGUGAGGGGAGUGAAAUAGAACCUGAAACCGUGUACGUACAAGCAGUGGGAGCCCUUCGGGGUGACUGCGUACCUUUUGUAUAAUGGGUCAGCGACUUACAUUUUGUAGCGAGGUUAACCGUAUAGGGGAGCCGUAGGGAAACCGAGUCUUAACUGGGCGUCUAGUUGCAAGGUGUAGACCCGAAACCGGGUGAUCUAGCCAUGGGCAGGUUGAAGGUUGAGUAACAUCAACUGGAGGACCGAACCCACUAACGUUGCAAAGUUAGGGGAUGACCUGUGGCUGGGGGUGAAAGGCCAAUCAAACUCGGAGAUAGCUGGUUCUCCCCGAAAGCUAUUUAGGUAGCGCCUCGGACGAAUACUACUGGGGGUAGAGCACUGUUUGGGCUAGGGGGUCAUCCCGACUUACCAACCCCAUGCAAACUCCGAAUACCAGUAAGUAAUAUCCGGGAGACACACGGCGGGUGCUAACGUCCGUCGUGAAGAGGGAAACAACCCAGACCGCCGGCUAAGGUCCCAAAGUUCUGGUUAAGUGGGAAACGAUGUGGGAAGGCUCAGACAGCUAGGAUGUUGGCUUAGAAGCAGCCAUCAUUUAAAGAAAGCGUAAUAGCUCACUAGUCGAGUCGGCCUGCGCGGAAGAUGUAACGGGGCUCAAACCAGGCACCGAAGCCGCGGAUUCACACUUAUGUGUGAGUGGUAGGGGAGCGUUCUGUAAGUCUGCGAAGGUGUAUCGAGAGGUAUGCUGGAGAUAUCAGAAGUGCGAAUGCUGACGUAAGUAACGAUAAAGGGGGUGAAAAGCCUCCUCGCCGGAAGACCAAGGGUUCCUGUCCAACGUUAAUCGGGGCAGGGUGAGUCGACCCCUAAGGCGAGGCCGAAAGGCGUAGUCGAUGGGAAGCAGGUUAAUAUUCCUGCACGACUUGUAAUUGCGAUGGGGGGACGGAGAAGGCUAGGUGGGCCAGGCGACGGUUGUCCUGGUGAAAGUGCGUAGGUGGUGUUUCUAGGCAAAUCCGGAGACACAACACUGAGACACGAGACGAACACACUACGGUGUGGAAGCCAUUGAUGCCCUGCUUCCAGGAAAAGCCUCUAAGCUUCAGAUUACAAGUCAUCGUACCCCAAACCGACACAGGUGGUCGGGUAGAGAAUACCAAGGCGCUUGAGAGAACUCGGGUGAAGGAACUAGGCAAAAUAGAACCGUAACUUCGGGAGAAGGUUCGCUCUUGAUGGUGAAGUCCCUUGCGGAUGGAGCUGUCGGGAGUCGCAGUGACCAGAUGGCUGGGACUGUUUAUCAAAAACACAGCACUCUGCAAACACGAAAGUGGACGUAUAGGGUGUGACACCUGCCCGGUGCCGGAAGGUUAAUUGAUGGGGUUAGCGCAAGCGAAGCUCUUGAUCGAAGCCCCGGUAAACGGCGGCCGUAACUAUAACGGUCCUAAGGUAGCGAAAUUCCUUGUCGGGUAAGUUCCGACCUGCACGAAUGGUGUAACCAUGGCCAUGCUGUCUCCACCCGAGACUCAGUGAAAUCGAAUUCGCCGUGAAGAUGCGGUGUACCCGCGGCUAGACGGAAAGACCCCGUGAACCUUUACUACAGCUUGGCACUGAACAUUGAACCUACAUGUGUAGGAUAGGUGGGAGGCUUUGAAGGCGUGACGCCAGUUGCGCUGGAGCCGUCCUUGAAAUACCACCCUUGUAUGUUUGAUGUUCUAACGCAGGGCCCUGAAUCGGGCUCGCGGACAGUGCCUGGUGGGUAGUUUGACUGGGGCGGUCUCCUCCCAAAGAGUAACGGAGGAGCACGAAGGUUGGCUAAUCCUGGUCGGACAUCAGGAGGUUAGUGCAAUGGCAUAAGCCAGCUUAACUGCGAGACGGACAGGUCGAGCAGGUACGAAAGUAGGUCAUAGUGAUCCGGUGGUUCUGAAUGGAAGGGCCAUCGCUCAACGGAUAAAAGGUACUCCGGGGAUAACAGGCUGAUACCGCCCAAGAGUUCAUAUCGACGGCGGUGUUUGGCACCUCGAUGUCGGCUCAUCACAUCCUGGGGCUGAAGUCGGUCCCAAGGGUAUGGCUGUUCGCCAUUUAAAGUGGUACGCGAGCUGGGUUCAGAACGUCGUGAGACAGUUCGGUCCCUAUCUGCCGUGGGCGUUGGAUGAUUGAAGGGAGUUGCUCCUAGUACGAGAGGACCGGAGUGAACGAACCUCUGGUGUUCGGGUUGUCACGCCAGUGGCACUGCCCGGUAGCUAAGUUCGGAAUCGAUAACCGCUGAAAGCAUCUAAGCGGGAAGCGAGCCCUGAGAUGAGUCAUCCCUGACCCCUUGAGGGUCCUAAAGGGCCGUUGGAGACCACAACGUUGAUAGGCGGGGUGUGUAAGUGCAGCGAUGCAUUGAGCUAACCCGUACUAAUUACCCGUGAGGCUUAACCAU